AACGAACGCUGGCGGCAGGCUUAACACAUGCAAGUCGAACGCCCCGCAAGGGGAGUGGCAGACGGGUGAGUAACGCGUGGGAAUCUACCGUGCCCUACGGAAUAGCUCCGGGAAACUGGAAUUAAUACCGUAUACGCCCUACGGGGGAAAGAUUUAUCGGGGUAUGAUGAGCCCGCGUUGGAUUAGCUAGUUGGUGGGGCAAAGGCCUACCAAGGCGACGAUCCAUAGCUGGUCUGAGAGGAUGAUCAGCCACAUUGGGACUGAGACACGGCCCAAACUCCUACGGGAGGCAGCAGUGGGGAAUAUUGGACAAUGGGCUCAAGCCUGAUCCAGCCAUGCCGCGUGAGUGAUGAAGGUCUUAGGAUUGUAAAGCUCUUUCACCGAUGAAGAUAAUGACGGUAGUCGGAGAAGAAGCCCCGGCUAACUUCGUGCCAGCCGCCGCAGUAA
rnacentral:rRNA from 1 species